AUGGAACAAGAUGGCAGGAGGGCAAAAGGAGUGCCUAGGCGAGGAGCAGCAGAAAACACCAAGAGAACAUCCCAACGGUCGUCCAGAAGAGGGCUGGUGAUGAUGGUGCCAGGAGAAGAGCUGGAAGAUGAGGCAGCGGGUCGGCAAUACGCUACGAAGGCGUCGGUGCCAUCGUACUCCGACUUGAUGGCCCGCCACCCACCUUCUUCGGCUUCUCCGGCCCACCUAAGCAAGCCACCCAAGGAGGCGACCCCGAGAAGUUCAAGGAGCUGGCCCCAUCCCCGGCAAAUUACUUUGCCGGGGGUGGGCCAGGUGCAAAUGCUGCUACUACUGACGCUGCUCAGGGACGGUGUGUCCGAUGCCUAG
rnacentral:rRNA from 1 species